CCUACGGGAGGCAGCAGUGGGGAAUAUUGCACAAUGGGGGAAACCCUGAUGCAGCGACGCCGCGUGAGUGAAGAAGGAUUUCAGUAUGUAAAGCUCUAUCAGCAGGGAAGAAAAUGACGGUACCUGAUUAAGAAGCCCCGUCUAACUACGUGCCAGCAGCCGCAGCAAUACGUAGGGGGCAAGCGUUAUCCGGAUUUAAUGGGUGUAAAGGGAGCGUAGACGGGAGCACAAGUCUGGAGUGAAAUGCCGGGGCUUAACCCCGGAACUGCUUUGGAAACUGUGCAGCUAGAGUGCAGGAGAGGUAAGUGGAAUGCCUAGUGUAGCGGUGAAAUGCGUAGAUAUUGGGAGGAACACCAGUGGCGAAGGCGGCUUACUGGACUGUAACUGACGUUGAGGCUCGAAAGCGUGGGGAGCAAACAGGAUUAGAUACCCUGGUAGUC
rnacentral:rRNA from 1 species